rnacentral:rRNA from 1 species
GCUUGCACUCGGUUGAGACGAGUCUCAUCCGGUAGAGCGAAUGAUUAGAGGCAUUGGGGUCGAAACGACCUCAACCUAUUCUCAAACUCCAAAUAGAUGAGAUCCUCGGCUUUCUUAAAAUUGAAGCCGUGGAAUCGGAUCAGAGUGCCAAUGGUAAGCAGAACUGGCGCUGUGG